rnacentral:rRNA from 1 species
UGCGUAGGCGGUGCUCUAAGUCGGAUGUGAAAACUCUGGGCUCAACCCAGAGCCUGCAUCCGAAACUGGAGUGCUAGAGUUCUGGAGGGGGUAGCGGAAUUCCUGGUGUAGCGGUGAAAUGCGUAGAUAUCAUGAGGAACACCGGUGGCGAAGGCGGCUACCUGGACAGAAACUGACGCUGAGGCAAAGACUAGGGGAGCAAACA